rnacentral:lncRNA from 1 species
AUGGUUUUAAAGAAAGCAGACCUGGCUGGUUCUUGGGACAAUGUGCCUGGGUGGGAGGUCUGGGAUAGCCCUGCAGGUCUUGGCUCAUUCGAGCCAGUGCACUGCCCUCCCACUUUGGCAGCCUCCCCUGGACUCGCCUCCUUCCCGUGCAGCGACGCCAAAAAAAGAAAAGGCGCUUGUAUUCGGGUAAUUACAGGGCCGUCGCCUCUAAACGCGCCAAGGCGCAUGCUUAGUCUCUGGUCACGUGAUGCCUGUCAUGGCCGCCUCCGUGGCCUGGGGAGGUGUGAAUGCUGGGUUCCUGCUGCGGGCUGCCAGGGGUGCCUGGUGGAGCCGACCUGGAGGCUUUUGGGGGUCCGGGGAGGCGGCGGCGCCAGCGAUAGCCAGGAAAUUCCGGGCGACAGGCUCGCGCCCGGCGGGGGAGGAAGAAGCCGGCGGCCCCGAGCGGCCCGGGGACGUGGUGAACGUGGUGUUCGUGGACAGGUCAGGCCAACGGAUUCCGGUGAGCGGCAGAGUCGGGGACAAUGUUCUCCACCUGGCCCAGCGCCAUGGGUUGGAUCUGGAAGCUAUGAAAACCCUUUGGAAGAGGACAUUAUCCAGAAGCACAGUGCCCAGUGCUCAGUCAGAAGCUUGGGAAUGUGUCCGGGGGAAGCAGGAAACCCUCGACUCUGUACCUUUCACCCCUUUAUUUCCUGA